CCCUAUGGGGCGCGGGAAUUGCUGCUAUUGCUGCGCUUGGCUUUUUGAUUCGCAGGGAGGUACCCGUGCGGAUGAUAAAUCGUAACAUCUGCAUUCCCAGCCCAGUGCAAUUGAUGAAUAACAGAGACAACAGUGAAGCCGUUAUAUUGCAGAUAAAGCUCCAGCAAAUUAUCAAAGUUUAGUGUAAUGAUGUGAGAAACGUGGCCCCUGCAGGAGGACAUCGCUAGAGCUCCGAUGGCCGCUAAAGUUGCAUUUUCCCGGAGGGCCUGAAAUGUCAAUUUAUCUUUCAUGCCUUCGUAGAGAGCUACGCUAACCGACUCCAAGAAACCAUCGGGAUCGUCUUUGUAAUGAACGUUCCGAAAGGCCUCGACCUGUCGCUCAGGCUUUUUCCUGGCGGGAGGGC
rnacentral:rRNA from 1 species